UGUAAAUGAUGAAAGGUCUUUCCCUGAUGUCACAGUGAGGGUGAAAACUGAUUUAAUGAGCCUGAUGC
rnacentral:snoRNA from 12 species